rnacentral:lncRNA from 1 species
GUAUAAUGACAUGUUAAAAGUCCUUAUUAAAGUAUGCAAGAAAGGCUCUGCAGGUGGACAGAGCAUGAUUUUAAAAAUUCAAUAUUGCUGUCAUUCUUUCAUAUUCUUUUCAAAACAACAAAAGCCAUUAGGUCACAUCAAAACUGAUUUUUAAAACCAAAGGUCUGAACCUGCAAAGCCUUUCUCAGCUGGGUAGGUUCUCGGCAGCACCCUCAGUGACUUCGGGGGAUUUGGUCUCAGCAGGAAAGUCUGCUCAGGGAACUUGGGCCCAUUUCUGUUUAAGCCUUCUUGUGGAACAUUUCUCCAACAGCACCAGAGAAAACCAGAACAUUUAUCACUAGGACUCAGGCCAGGUGUAAUACAGAGUGCUGCUAAAUCAGGCCUUGUCAGUGCAAGUGAAUGGCCCAUACCCACAGAGUCCCUGCUGAUUUCAGGAGUACAGAUGCGGAAUACUGAGUGUGAGACGCUGCUGGUGAGCUGUUCUUGAUGGUUUGGUGUUGCUCCUAAAGAAAACCCUAUUGCAAACGGCAGCCAACUGCAGAUGUGCUAGGAUUAGGCUGGGCAGCACAAACACUGUGCCUGCCCAACUCCAGUGUACAAAGCAUUGCUGUUCUGCUGCGCUGUGCAGGGCUUCGAGUACACGGUAUUAAUUCACUGCCAAACAAAAUAAAUUUGACAGCAGAGAAAGCUCUCUCCA